AGGGUGUUGAGUAUUUAGGAAAAUGUGCACUUCCUAGCAUUGGUGGAGGUAGGAGAGUAACAAAAAACCAUCCUGGAGAGGAUUGGAGGUGGACAGCCUGGAGGCAGGACGAUCAACUCCAGCCCUUUGAAUUGGAGAGUGCAGCGCAAUCAGGCAAGCACCUCCAUCCAGCCAGAAGCCAACGUGGAGUAAUCAUUCCAUUGCCAAGAUGUUCUGCAGGCUCUCCCCAGGCAGCCUGUCUGGAUCACCCAUGGUUAUCAUCUCCACUUUGGGUGAAGAGAUCAAAGGAUCUCAUUAAGAGGCAAGAAUCUGGCAAGGUCAAAGGAAGAUGAGUUUUAGAGCUCAGACAGACCUGGUUUCUGCUCCUAGCUGUAUAAUGACUGUAUAAAAUUGCAAAACUCACCUCUCAGCAUGUGCAUCCUCCCCUGUAAGAUGGUGCCAUAAUACCUACUUUCUAGGGUUGUUUUAAAGAUUAAAAUGGUAACUUACACAAUGUGCCCAGUGCAUGGUGGGUGUUUAGCAAGCAAUCCCUGUUAAAA
rnacentral:lncRNA from 10 species